rnacentral:rRNA from 1 species
CUAACGUCCGUCGUGAAGAGGGAAACAACCCAGACCGCCAGCUAAGGUCCCAAAGUCAUGGUUAAGUGGGAAACGAUGUGGGAAGGCCCAGACAGCCAGGAUGUUGGCUUAGAAGCAGCCAUCAUUUAAAGAAAGCGUAAUAGCUCACUGGUCGAGUCGGCCUGCGCGGAAGAUGUAACGGGGCUAAACCAUGCACCGAAGCUGCGGCAGCGACACUAUGUGUUGUUGGGUAGGGGAGCGUUCUGUAAGCCUGUGAAGGUGUGCUGUGAGGCAUGCUGGAGGUAUCAGAAGUGCGAAUGCUGACAUAAGUAACGAUAAAGCGGGUGAAAAGCCCGCUCGCCGGAAGACCAAGGGUUCCUGUCCAACGUUAAUCGGGGCAGGGUGAGUCGACCCCUAAGGCGAGGCCGAAAGGCGUAGUCGAUGGGAAACAGGUUAAUAUUCCUGUACUUGGUGUUACUGCGAAGGGGGGACGGAGAAGGCUAUGUUGGCCGGGCGACGGUUGUCCCGGU